rnacentral:piRNA from 1 species
UGCCACCAAGUUCAUUCUACAGGAUGGACAA